AUACCAAAGUGGGUAAAUCGGCUUGCCAGAAUAGGUUCACUUUGCAACUGUAUACUCCCUGAGUCUCUUAAAACGUCCACAGUUCGACAUGAUCCAAGUUUCCAAACACGUAAUAAU